ensembl:lncRNA
GGAACCAAGAAAUAAACACAGGGCUAAACUGAGUUUCCCACAACAUACAGUUCAGACCUCAGUCAGAACCUCCCCAGUCUGGCCUCUCCAUGGCACUCAUGUUUUGCCUCAUCUUAUGUUGCAUCUCAGUGAAGAUAUACUGGCACACUCUGCACACAUAUUUGGGCAAAUGAUGCUGUAUUGAGGAAGGAAGAGACUGAAGAGUAGCCUUUACACAACACAACGCAUUGCCAGCAACUGACAUAGGCUAGCAGGCUGAUGUUCUGGGGCAGUAUUUAAGGCAUUGUCAGUUGGUUGGUCUUGCCCAGAUGCAUAGAGCAGAUCAAGUACAGCAGGAAUGGCUGUAGAAGAGCAGAGAUGAAGAUCUCCCACUUCUCCUCACAUCUGAGUUGACUCAGGUUCUGUGGGCAAACAUACCUGUGAGUUUCUUUCACAGAGAGGAACAGUUUCAACAGGAAAAGGUGAAGUGUCCUUGUUUCAAAAUAGGCUGUAUCUGGAGAAGGAGAACAGUCCUAAAGAGAUGGCAGAGAACCAAAUAAACAAAAAUAAAAAUAAGGACAAAAAUAAAAAAUAAAAAUAAAUGCAACAUUAUGAGUCGUCACAGGAAAUGCUUUCCUGUAUGUUAAUAUAUAAAACGUGCAAUUUCUACAAACUGUAUAUUUAAAAAACAUCCUUGGCAGUAAGAUAUACAGAAAGUAACAGAGUAUGAAGAAGUAAGGUCCAGUCAAAACUUUGCAACGAAGCUGCCUUUGUAGCCACUGAAGGCAGAUACACUCCUCAGGAGAUGUGCAUUUUGGUGGUAGAUUUCUGAUACCUGCACUUCUUAGAAUACAGUCAACUUCUGCUCGUGACUAUUGAAUUUCACUCUUAUCAUCUCCUUUACUGAUCUGAAGCUCUUGGGGCUGUGUAGGAAUCUCAAAUUCUGGGGCUGUCAUACCUUCGUUUGGAAUGCACUCAAGGAAUAAACAGCCUCCAAAUUAAUGGAAAACGAGCCCAAAAUUUUGCACAUUUUAUUUCUACUAACUGCUGAAUUCUUCAAGCCAUCAAGCAUGGGAAGACCUCAAAGGAUAUGCUUACUGUGCUUACUACUACAGAAUAUUAACAGCAGAAGGAAAAUGCAGGAAAAUCCCACCCUUGAGGUAAUCCCUAACUUGACCAAAAAAAGAAAAAAAAAAAUCUUUUGCUUUUACUUUCAAGACAAGCAGAUCAGAACCCUCUGGUAAACCAUGUGUUUUGUGGAUUAAAUCUUCACUUUUCCAAGGUCACACAGCAAAAAGGAAUAAUAGUCUUCCCCUACAAAUUUCAGAUUUACCAUUUAAUUAAUUGACUUUGGCAGUUGGCACACAACCUUUAAAAAAAAAAAAAAAAAAACAUUCUGAAAUGUCAGCCUUGAAGGGGGAAAAAAAAAUCAUUUGAUGAAUUUAAUCUAAGUGCCAACCAAAGCACAAAUGUUCCCUGUGGACCCGUUACAACACUGGAGUUCACAACUGAUUGCUUGGGAAUGAGCAAAUUAAUGCAGCAAAAUAUUUACUAGCUAAGUAGAUGUAGUUUAAUAUAUAUACUCUACUCGCCAGAUAUUUACACCUGUAUCCUAUAAAACACUGAAAUCUUCAGACUUGUUAAAUUAAUUAAUUUAAUUAAGGUAAAUAAAUAGAAAUCCAGGUUGCUGUUUUCCCAAAUAAGAAGUUUCACAGGCUGAGAGUGUUCAUUUAUGAUUUCGAUUUUUUCUUGUUGUUUUGUUUUUUUACAAAUGUGAGAAACCACAAAAAGUUGUUCUCCUGCUUCCUGUACGUACACGUUGUGCAAAUUAUAUAUAGUCUACUGGAUAGUCUUCAGCAGUGAACUUCAGGUACCAUCUGUACAUAUUUCUGGCACUAUUUAUUUGCAAUUAACCAGGGCCUUAUGUUUUAUCCCCUGCAACUUAAAGUCUUAAAUGCUGGAGGAGGUAAUUUUAGCAGAAGGGAAUACUGAAGCCAGCAUCAGGCUUUCUAAUGAGAAAAACCUAUCCUGUUACUCCCUAUUUAAACCAUUGCGACUGAGAAAGAUUGCUUUUCCUAGGUAAAAAAAAGAAAUGGUCUUGGCAGAAAAGAAAAAAAAAAAAAGUUUUAAUAGCACCUGCAAGUGCAGAUUAAAUCAUUUGUAACGAUUCAUUAAACUUGAUGUCUCAGAUACUCCACCAGUGAAAACAAGCUCCACUGAUUUCACCAGAUCACGA